rnacentral:tRNA from 1 species
GGGCGGUUAGCUCAGCUGGUUAGAGCGCUGCGUUCACAUCGCAGAGGUCAGAGGUUCAAAUCCUCUAUCGCCCA